rnacentral:rRNA from 1 species
AUUGAACGCUGGCGGCAGGCCUAACACAUGCAAGUCGAGCGGAUGAAGGGAGCUUGCUCCUGGAUUCAGCGGCGGACGGGUGAGUAAUGCCUAGGAAUCUGCCUGGUAGUGGGGGAUAACGUCCGGAAACGGGCGCUAAUACCGCAUACGUCCUGAGGGAGAAAGUGGGGGAUCUUCGGACCUCACGCUAUCAGAUGAGCCUAGGUCGGAUUAGCUAGUUGGUGGGGUAAAGGCCUACCAAGGCGACGAUCCGUAACUGGUCUGAGAGGAUGAUCAGUCACACGGGAACUGAGACACGGUCCAGACUCCUACGGGAGGCAGCAGUGGGGAAUAUUGGACCAUGGGCGAAAGCCUGAUCCAGCCAUGCCGCGUGUGUGAAGAAGGUCUUCGGAUUGUAAAGCACUUUAAGUUGGGAGGAAGGGCAGUAAGUUAAUACCUUGCUGUUUUGACGUUACCAACAGAAUAAGCACCGGCUAACUUCGUG